rnacentral:rRNA from 1 species
AGCGUAGGCGGACAUUUAAGUCAGGGGUGAAAUCCCGGGGCUCAACCUCGGAAUUGCCUUUGAUACUGGGUGUCUUGAGUAUGAGAGAGGUGUGUGGAACUCCGAGUGUAGAGGUGAAAUUCGUAGAUACUCGGAAGAACACCAGUGGCGAAGGCGACACACUGGCUCAUUACUGACGCUGAGGCUCGAAAGCGUGGGGAGCAAACG